CUGAAGGCGGCUGUGCCCGAAAGGGAACUGGAACACAGGUGCUGCAUGGCUGUCGUCAGCUCGUGUCGUGAGAUGUUGGGUUAAGUCCCGCAACGAGCGCAACCCUUGUCAUUAGUUACUACAUUCAGUUGGGCACUCUAAUGAGACUGCCGGUGACAAACCGGAGGAAGGUGGGGAUGACGUCAAGUCCUCAUGGCCCUUAUGGGUAGGGCUUCACACGUAAUACAAUGGCGCGUACAGAGGGUUGCCAAGGAGCGAUCUGGAGCCAAUCCCGUAAAGCGCGUCGUAGUCCGGAUUGCAGUCUGCAACUCGACUGCAUGAAGUCGGAAUCGCUAGUAAUCGCGGAUCAGCAUGUCGCGGUGAAUACGUUCCCGGGUCUUGUACACACCGCCCGUCACACCAUGGGAGUGGGUUUCACCAGAAGCCGGUCGCCUAACCGCAAGGAGGGCGCCGACCACGGUGAGAUUCAUGACUGGGGUGAAGUCGUAACAAGGUAACCGUAA
rnacentral:rRNA from 1 species